AUGAAAGUGACAACAGCUGCACUGGAGACAACAGCUGCACUGGAGAGACAACAGCUGCACUGGAGACAACAACUGCACUGGAGACAACAACUGCACUGGAGACAACAACUGCACUGGAGACAACAACUGCACUGGAGAGACAACAGCUGCACUGGAGACAACAACUGCACUGGAGACAACAACUGCACUGGAGACAACAGCUGCACUGGAGACAACAGCUGCACUGGAGACAACAACUGCACUGGAGACAACAGCUGCACUGGAGAGACAACAGCUGCACUGGAGACAACAGCUGCACUGGAGACAACAACUGCACUGGAGACAACAACUGCACUGGAGACAACAGCUGCACUGGAGAGACAACAGCUGCACUGGAGACAACAACUGCACUGGAGACAACAGCUGCACUGGAGACAACAACUGCACUGGAGACAACAGCUGCACUGGAGACAACAACUGCACUGGAGAGACAACAACUGCACUGGAGAGACAACAACUGCACUGGAGAGACAACAGCUGCACUGGAGACAACAGCUGCACUGGAGACAACAGCUGCACUGGAGACAACAACUGCACUGGAGAGACAACAGCUGCACUGGAGACAACAGCUGCACUGGAAAGACAACAACUGCACUGGAGACAACAACUGCACUGGAGAGACAACAGCUGCACUGGAGAGACAACAGCUGCACUGGAGACAACAGCUGCACUGGAGACAACAACUGCACUGGAGACAACAACUGCACUGGAGAGACAACAGCUGCACUGGAGACAACAGCUGCACUGGAGACAACAACUGCACUGGAGAGACAACAACUGCACUGGAGAGACAACAACUGCACUGGAGAGACAACAACUGCACUGGAGAGACAACAGCUGCACUGGAGACAACAGCUGCACUGGAGACAACAACUGCACUGGAGAGACAACAGCUGCACUGGAGAGACAACAGCUGCACUGGAGACAACAACUGCACUGGAGACAACAGCUGCACUGGAGAGACAACAGCUGCACUGGAGACAACAGCUGCACUGGAGAGACAACAGCUGCACUGGAGACAACAGCUGCACUGGAGAGACAACAGCUGCACUGGAGAGACAACAGCUGCACUGGAGACAACAGCUGCACUGGAGAGACAACAGCUGCACUGGAGACAACAGCUGCACUGGAGAGACAACAGGGAGACGACCCCAAAGGGACAACAGUUAG
rnacentral:lncRNA from 1 species